rnacentral:rRNA from 1 species
AGCAGCCGCGGUAGUUCCAGCUCCAAUAGCGUAUAUUAAAGUUGUUGCAGUUAAAAAGCUCGUAGUUGGAUUUCGGGAUUAAUAUGCUGGUCGUGCCAUUGGUACGUACUAGUAUUAUUGAUUUCUCCCUUCUGAUGAAUCAUGAUGUCAUUAAUUUGAUGUCAUGGGGAAUCAGGACUGUUACUUUGAAAAAAUUAGAGUGUUUAAAGCAGGCUCGCGCUUGAAUACAUUAGCAUGGAAUAAUAGAAAUAGGACGUUUGAUUCUAUUUUGUUGGUUUCUAGGAUUGACGUAAUGAUUAAUAGGGAUAGGUUGGGGGCAUUAGUAUUCAAUUGUCAGAGGUGAAAUUCUUGGUAUUUAUUGAAGACUAACUACUGCGAAAGCAUUUGCCAAGGAUGUUUUC